GGGGGGCGGGAACGAGGGUUGGGACAUAUGAACGGUUGAGGCGUUCUGGCAAAGCGCAGUCCGUUUGGGAUACGUGUAUCAUACGUAAGGCUGGCUGUCAGCAUGGAUAGUGGGGAUUGAGGAUGAGAACGACAGAAGGGCUAGCGCAGACUUCGAGCCGGAUUGAAGGUGAUUGUGAGGACUCGAAAGCCAUCGAAAUGAUGUACCCAGUCACACGCACACACACACACACGCACACACACGCACAACUAAAACUUAACUUGUGUAAAUGAGUCUGGGAACUGGACGAAGCGGGGGGUGUGUGUGUGUGAGUCCUUGGUAACCGAUGACAACACUUUCUCUGUUAAUAAGCGCUCCUGUUGGUUUGCUGUACAUGCACUGCAUUUCUCUCCCACGUUGCCGACGGUUACAGAAAAAAUGUCAAAUCCUCCCUUACCUUCCUAACAAAGGUAAUAGCACAAGAAGUAGUGCAAUCGUAUUUUAUUUCUGAUGUACGAUUCAUCUCCUACAGACUCACGAGCUUUUAUCUUUGUUUUUUUCUUGUCAAAGAUGGUUAUUGCAGAAUGGAGAGCAGAACCUGGAUGAGAAGACUAGAUUUGCACACAGCAAAAAAUCGUUGAAGAUGUGGAUGGGAAAAAAAUGUAUGUAUUCAUGAACAUCGCAGCUGCCUGUGGAAUUGUGGAAUUAUUUUCUUUUUAUCUUCGGAAAGUGCUAAGUGCUGUUCUGUAUUAGACAUUUUGCAGAAAUAAAACAUACUUGCCAUUGUUUUUUGUUGGUAGUUAAUGCGGUUUGUUGGGGUUCAAAGUUUUGCAGAGUUGGGGUUCAAAUAAAUUCAUUGGCCA